rnacentral:rRNA from 1 species
GGGUYCUUUUKGGGCCAACCUCCCAUCCGUGUCUAWUUGUACCCUGUUGCUUCGGCGGGCCCGCCGCUUGUCGGCCGCCGGGGGGGCGCCUCUGCCCCCCGGGCCCGUGCCCGCCGGAGACCCCAACACGAACACUGUCUGAAAGCGUGCAGUCUGAGUUGAUUGAAUGCAAUCAGUUAAAACUUUCAACAAUGGAUCUCUUGGUUCCGGCAUCGAUGAAGAACGCAGCGAAAUGCGAUAACUAAUGUGAAUUGCAGAAUUCAGUGAAUCAUCGAGUCUUUGAACGCACAUUGCGCCCCCUGGUAUUCCGGGGGGCAUGCCUGUCCGAGCGUCAUUGCUGCCCUCAAGCCCGGCUUGUGUGUUGGGUCGCCGUCCCCCUCUCCGGGGGGACGGGCCCGAAAGGCAGCGGCGGCACCGCGUCCGAUCCUCGAGCGUAUGGGGCUUUGUCACAUGCUCUGUAGGAUUGGCCGGCGCCUGCCGACGUUUUCCAACCAUUCUUUCCAGGUUGACCUCGGAUCAGGUAGGGAUACCCGCUGAACUUAAGCAUAUCAAUAAGCSGGAGGAA